rnacentral:rRNA from 1 species
CUUUAUAGCUUGCUAUGAUAGAAAUUAGUGGCAGACGGGUGAGUAAUGCAUAGGAAUCUACCUAGUAGUAUGGGAUAGCCACUAGAAAUGGUGGGUAAUACUGUAUAAUCCCUGCGGGGGAAAGAUUUAUCGCUAUUAGAUGAGCCUAUGUUAGAUUAGCUAGUUGGUAGGGUAAAGGCCUACCAAGGCAGUGAUCUAUAGCUGGUCUGAGAGGAUGAUCAGCCACACUGGAACUGAGAUACGGUCCAGACUCCUACGGGAGGCAGCAGUGGGGAAUAUUGGACAAUGGGCGCAAGCCUGAUCCAGCUAUGCCGCGUGAGUGAGGAAGGCCUUAGGGUUGUAAAACUCUUUCAGUGGGGAAGAUAAUGACGGUACCCACAGAAGAAGUCCCGGCAAACUCCGUGCCAGCAGCCGCGGUAAUACGGAGGGGGCAAGCGUUGUUCGGAAUUAUUGGGCGUAAAGGGCAUGUAGGCGGUUCGGUAAGUUAAAGGU